rnacentral:rRNA from 1 species
CGCGAGCGUUGUCCGGAUUUAUUGGGCGUAAAGAGCUCGUAGGCGGCUUGUCGCGUCGACUGUGAAAACCCGCGGCUCAACUGCGGGCCUGCAGCCGAUACGGGCAGGCUAGAGUUCGGUAGGGGAGACUGGAAUUCCUGGUGUAGCGGUGAAAUGCGCAGAUAUCAGGAGGAACACCGGUGGCGAAGGCGGGUCUCUGGGCCGAUACUGACGCUGAGGAGCGAAAGCGUGGGGAGCGAACAGG